CACGCUCACACGUCCAAAUUAUUAGGAACAAGCUCACCUUUUACAUUUCCUACAGUUCCAACCUGCGCCUGUGUUUUCAGCAGAACUGAGCGGGUUCUCCAGGGAACCCGGUGCUAAAGGAUGUAGAGCCAUGUUCCAUACAAACCCGCACACAGACACAAACCUGACUCUCAGCUCACUGCGUACCGGGAACCGUCUCACUGCUGCACACAGUGUCCAGCAAAACUCUGUGUGUGUGUGUGUGUGCGCGUGUGUGUGUUUCUGUAGGUGUGUGUGUGCGCGUGUGUGUAUUUCUGUAGGUGCGUGUGUGUGUGUAUGCGCGUGUGUGUGUGUUUCUGUGUGUGUGUUUCUGUAGGUGUGUGCGUGUGAGUGUGUGUGUGCGCGUGUGUGUGUUUCUGUAGGUGUGUGUGUGUGUGUGUGUGUUUCUGUAGGUGUAGGUGUGUGUGUGUGUGUGUGUGUGUGUGUGUAUGUGUGUGUGUGUGUUUCUGUAGGUGUGUGUGUGUGUUUCUGUAGGUGUGUGUGUGUGUGUGUGUGUUUCUGUAGGUGUAGGUGUGUGUGUGUAUGCGCGCGUGUGUGUGUGUG
ensembl:lncRNA